GAGUUGGUGUGCUGGGCAGUUGGGGAGUGGUUGUCGUUGGUGCUGCUGCUUACUAGCGUGGGAAGGCGAGUGAACAGGAAGGAUUGGAGGCCGCCACUGCAGAACUGUCUGGCCUUUAGCUCUUCAUCUUUGGUUAAGGAAAUGACCAACCAGUAUUCUCUUCAAGCAAGAGCAAGCCCACGAUGAUGCCAUAUGGUCGGUUGCCUGGGAGACAAACAAAAAGGAAAACAUUGAAACAGUGGUCACAGGAUCCCUGGAUGAUCUGGUGAAGGUCUGGAAAUGGCGUGAUGAGAGGCUGGAGCUGCAGUGGAGCCUGGAGGGACAUCAGCUUGGUGUGGUGUCUGUCGACAUCAGCCACACCCUUCCCAUUGCU
rnacentral:lncRNA from 1 species